UGUUUAUUGUAUAAACCUCUUCCCUUCCAAUUCAGAUUUUAUUAGCCGUAAUGCUUGGGAGAAUAGAUUCAAACUUAGUUUCUUACCUUAAAAUCAUUUGGUACCCCCCUUGACACCCCUAUGGCAUUAAUAUACAUAUAUAUAUAUAUAUAUAUAUAUAUGUGUGGGUAAAACCACCCUUUAUAGGGGUACUCCUUUUUGUCCUGAAGCAUGAAUGAGGUGUGUCAAGAGUACCUUGGGGAUUGUCAUGUGUUAUGUGUAUGGACAUAAUAACCUAGGCUAGGGCACAUUUACUUAUUCUUAGAAAUCUUGUCUCAUGCUACCCUAGUACUGGCAGAUUCAGAUCAUUUAAACAUUCAAUAUUAAUAUCACCACAAACUCAAGAUAAGCAGAUGAUCCUGAAGAAGCUUUGACUGUGCGUAUGGCACCUCAGACGUGAGGGCUGCAGGGUAAGGAGUAUGUUUAUUUCUCUUUAGUUUCACGAGGUCCCCUUUUGGGGUAUUUGGCUUUCCAUCGAUGGCAGGUGGUCAGGCAUUAUUAUGGCCAUCAAAACACCCACUUGUUGAUAGUUAUUUAUUUAUUUUCAACAAGUAUCUUUGUUCUCUAAGAAUGGAGUUUCAAAAAGGGUUGUCAAGAUCAACAAAUGCUACUUCACAUGAUGCAGAGGCAGGCUUGAUUCUGGAAUGAUGAAUCCACGGGGUGAUCUCUG